rnacentral:tRNA from 1 species
AGGAGUGUAGCUCAAUUGGUAGAGUUCCGGUCUCCAAAACCGGCGGUUGAGGGUUCGAGUCCCUCCACUCCUGCCA